rnacentral:rRNA from 1 species
UGGGGAAUUUUGGACAAUGGGCGAAAGCCUGAUCCAGCAAUGCCGCGUGUGUGAAGAAGGCCUUCGGGCUGUAAAGCACUUUUGUCCGGAAAGAAAUCCUUGGCUCUAAUACAGUCGGGGGAUGACGGUACCGGAAGAAUAAGCACCGGCUAACUACGUGCCAGCAGCCGCGGUAAUACGUAGGGUGCAAGCGUUAAUCGGAAUUACUGGGCGUAAAGCGUGCGCAGGCGGUUUGCUAAGACCGAUGUGAAAUCCCCGGGCUCAACCUGGGAACUGCAUUGGUGACUGGCAGGCUAGAGUAUGGCAGAGGGGGGUAGAAUUCCACGUGUAGCAGUGAAAUGCGUAGAGAUGUGGAGGAAUACCGAUGGCGAAGGCAGCCCCCUGGGCCAAUACUGACGCUCAUGCACGAAAGCGUGGGGAGCAAACAGGAUUAGAUACCCUGGUAGUCCACGCCCUAAACGAUGUCAACUAGUUGUUGGGGAUUCAUUUCCUUAGUAACGUAGCUAACGCGUGAAGUUGACCGCCUGGGGAGUACGGUCGCAAGAUUAAAACUCAAAGGAAUUGACGGGGUCAUAGCUGUUUCCU